CUGAGACAUGCCUCACCCGCCUCUCUAGAAUGCAGCCUGAUGUGGAGCCCCUGGGCUCCCCCAGCCUGGGGAGCCCCAGCAUGCACAGGGAGGCAGCUGCCCUCCUGGUGGACAUGGAGUUCCCAGAAGAAACUUCCACUCGGAGCCUGGACAGGCCCAUCAAACCCUCGAAGCAAUACCUGCAGCAGGUUGUUGCAGAAUAUGAGGCUCUGGACCGAGAGCUACCAUGCAUACGGAAGUUCUCCAUGCCACCCGCAGCCCAGCCUCUCUGCCUUUGCAUGGAGACUUCGGAGGAUUUUACGCACCUGGAGGUUCUCGAGGCGCUAGAGGCUAAGUUACCUGGGGCCAUGGAAAGCGGGCGCGUGAGCAGCAUCCGCUUUGAGAACAUGAACGUCAUCUGUGGGACCGCAGGUCGCAGGGACCGGUGGCUCAUUAUGGUCGCGGACUUCCAGACGCGUUCGCGCCUGCUGCGCUCCGGACUCAGCCCCCGCGGGCUCGCGCACCAGCUAGUUCGCCACGACGAUCUACAGUUGGGCGACUACCGCCUGCACCUGCGGCGCUCGCUGGUCCGACGGCGCAUGCUCGAGGCUCUGGGGGCGGAGCCAACCCAGGAAGACUGACGCGCUAGGGUGGGCGGGUCCCGGGUGCACUUGCGCACUACGCCCCUGAUGCGCGGGCUCGCAGCGCCGGGCAGGGAGGGGGCGUCGCCUCCCAGGAAGGAGGCGGGGCGGCUCGAAGGGGUGGAUACUUCCCUGCAAAUGGUCGCCGGGAGGAACUGAGGCCAUCGGAAGGGAAGACUUGGGCGCCAGAUUGUGGACGCGUGCAGAUUCCGGCCGGUCUCAGCGAG